rnacentral:misc_RNA from 1 species
UAGCUGUAGAGGCCGUGCAUUAAAGUU